UUGAGUGGUUGUACCUUUAUAAAAAUAUUUAAAGCUAAGCAGGGUCAGGCCUGGUUAGUACUUGGAUGGAAGACCACCUAGGAAGACCAGGUGCUAUAGGCG
rnacentral:rRNA from 1 species